rnacentral:tRNA from 1 species
GCCCGUUUAGCUCAGUAGGUAGAGCGUUCGUCUCAUAGCACAACGUUUGAAGAGAAAGCGAAAGGCCGUCAGUUCGAUCCUGACAGUGGGCA